GUUCUUACAAAGGACAUUAAAAUUACCAAUAUACCAUGCAAGUUUUGUUAUAUCUGGAACUAUGUUUUCGAAUUGACGGAUGAGAAUCAGUGUAAUUCGGAUGCUAUUUGGGAUGAAAUUAAAAAUGAAAAAGGAACUUAAAAGGGGUGGUGUAAUAAUAAGUGAAAAUGUAGUUGUAUAGUUGUAAUAAAGCAUGUAAAUUCCAAUACCUCACUUGGAAAUACUUUAAGUCUACUAAGUCUGUAUAGUUGGUUUUCUCACCUCUGGAAAAAUUACCCAACAUCAUAAAUGCAUACCAUAUGAUAUUCCAAAUCACAAAUAGACCUAUUCAGCAUAUUGAGUCCUUUGUAUUGUAAGGCACCAGCCCCUAAUCAUUGUUACAUCUAUAUAAGAAUUUUGUUGUUGAUAUUAUUGUGUGUAUUAUAUGACAAGUACAUGCAGUGUUUGAAUUGUGUAUUUUGAAUUGUGCAUAGAUUUAUAAUGUUAUUUAUUUGAAUGUUCACCAUAUGAAAUGUGUUGUUUAGAC
rnacentral:lncRNA from 1 species